rnacentral:piRNA from 1 species
GGAGUUAAAGACUUGUGGGCCGCAUG